AGCUUUGCGCAGUGGCAGUAUCAUAGCCAAUGAGGUUUAUCUGAGGCACGAUUAUUGCUAAUUGAAAAGCAAAAACCAUGGUAAAAAAAAAAUGAAAGAAACAUAUUUUU
rnacentral:snRNA from 1 species